UACGUAGGUGGCAAGCGUUGUCCGGAAUUAUUGGGCGUAAAGCGCGCGCAGGCGGUCCUUUAAGUCUGAUGUGAAAGCCCACGGCUCAACCGUGGAGGGUCAUUGGAAACUGGGGGACUUGAGUACAGAAGAGGAAAGCGGAAUUCCACGUGUAGCGGUGAAAUGCGUAGAGAUGUGGAGGAACACCAGUGGCGAAGGCGCUUUCUGGUCUGUAACUGACGCUGAGGCGCGAAAGCGUGGGGAGCAAACAGG
rnacentral:rRNA from 1 species